GCAGUCCAGGCCCACCACAUAUAGCCCAAGUCAGUACGUCUACGUCAGCUUUGCACAGAAGCUCUACUAGUCAUUCGAGUCAUUUCUCCAAGAAGAGCAGGGCGUUAACAAUGGGUCAAGAAAUAAAGUUCCUUCUGACACUAUUUCUCCCACUCAGCGUCGCCUUUCCUUUGUCGAAUUUUGCUUCCAUUGAGUUUAAAAACAAGGCCGCGAAUAACUGGCAACUGCUGAUCGGCGCAAAUGCGGAGGAACUGCUUUACGACUUUUGCAAGUAUAACGGGACAAGCGGUGGAACACAAUGCCAAAAUCUUCCGAAGGCCACCUCAACAGACAUUAGGGAGGCGUGCAAUUGCUCCGUCCAACACAACAAAACCGAAGCUGGCUCCUUAUCUUUCAGCGUCAACUGCAGCAGCAAUUUAAGCUGGUGCCCCAAGAAGCUGGCCUUUCAAUACCAGCAAGGCCCCUCCGAAAAGCCAUCACGCGCUGAAGAAAUUUCAGCUUCCAAACAAGACCAGAUUAACUUUCUGUACUUGUCCUUGCCCCUUAUUGUCCUCGUUUGUUUGAUUGUGGGAGUGUUAGUCAAGUACCGAGAGCAAGUGCGUUCUUAUUGCACUGAAAAGUGGCGUCAAUACGUCAACGGGUCUUCAAAUGAACAAAACCGUGAAGGAGAUCAAAGAGCUUAAGAGUCAGUCGCUUUCCCGCUUUCCAGAAUGCAAGUGCAAGUCAGUCUUUCGUUCAACCACCUCACAAUUGAAAUCGUCGACUUUUUUAACCUGGUUAGUUGGUUUAAAAAAGUCCAAAAUUUCACUAUAUCGUAGUUUGCUUUUUAAUACUAAAAAAUGAACGAUUUUGCACGCUUAAAAUAUAUAAAAGAAAAAUUGAUUAUUAAUACCAAUGACAUCCACCAAAAAUAUUUCUAUUUUUUAAAUAUAGGUUACACUGCAAGUCAGGGGUGAGAAAAUCUCACCCCGCGGGGUACGUCACUAUACCUGGGGUGUGAAAGGUGAGUUUUUCGCACCGCGCAGCGGUGACAUGCGGCGGGCGAGAUUUUCACACUGCAGCGCAGUAUCAAUUUCUAACCCCUGAUUUGCAGUUUAUGAAAUAGUUCUAUUUUAUAAAAAUAUCUCUAUAGUUUUUUCUCGUGUCUUACGGUUUUAUGGGUUUGUCACGCGUCUCUUCUUUACUCUCACUCAGCAGGUAUUCUUUCGUCUCUCUCCUCUCAGCCUUUUUACAGUCAUUUACGCAACUGUCAAAGCCGUCUGCCGGCCGCUGACCCUCAAUCCUAGGUUCCAGUUCCUCUCUCCGAUCCGCAUUUUCUGUCUGCGUGUUUUCCUCUAUGCUGGUCUUCCUGUCUCUUAAUUAUCUGCAAACUGUUAAACUUGUUUGGUUGACUCUGAUUAUUUUCAUGUUCCAAUUGGGCAGCUUUGCCCCAAUCCUCCUCAUAUCCAACGCCAAAGUGUUUAAAAAUAAUAACCAAACAAUAUUAAUCCAUUUCAGUUUUUAUUUAUACAGAUCUCUGCGCGGCAACAGAUUGUGCCAUAACAUAUAUAAGCACUGAUUGUGGGACACUUACAAACGGGGGUGCCAUCUAGGAUUUAUAUCCGUUCCUCUCUUUGCAGAUAUACCUAACAAAUCAACAUCCAGCAGGAAUUUGGCAAAAUAUCUCGGUUUAUCCCGAAACUUCAUCCUACGUUUUCUUAAUAGUCAACAUUAUUAUUUUGUUAAUUUAUACUGAGUAGAUUUUACUCCGUUAAUACGAUUAUAGUCACCAUGAUUGAGUUCACAUUAAGAUGUUAGGCUAAGUUAUGUUUUAGAAACUAUGUAUAACAUUUAAUUAUAAAUAAAGCAGACUAAU